CACUAUCGUUAACUGAAUACAUAGGUUAACGAGGCGAACCGGGGGAACUGAAACAUCUAAGUACCCCGAGGAAAAGAAAUCAACCGAGAUUCCCCCAGUAGCGGCGAGCGAACGGGGAGCAGCCCAGAGUCUGAAUCAGCUUGUGUGUUAGUGGAACGGUCUGGAAAGUCCGACGGUACAGGGUGAUAGUCCCGUACACCAAAAUGCACAGGCUGUGAACUCGAAGAGUAGGGCGGGACACGUGGUAUCCUGUCUGAAUAUGGGGGGACCAUCCUCCAAGGCUAAAUACUCCUGACUGACCGAUAGUGAACCAGUACCGUGAGGGAAAGGCGAAAAGAACCCCGGCGAGGGGAGUGAAAAAGAACCUGAAACCGUGUACGUACAAGCAGUGGGAGCACCUUCGGGUGUGACUGCGUACCUUUUGUAUAAUGGGUCAGCGACUUAUAUUCUGUAGCAAGGUUAACCGUAUAGGGGAGCCGCAGGGAAACCGAGUCUUAACUGGGCGUUAAGUUGCAGGGUAUAGACCCGAAACCCGGUGAUCUAGCCAUGGGCAGGUUGAAGGUUGGGUAACACUAACUGGAGGACCGAACCGACUAAUGUUGAAAAAUUAGCGGAUGACUUGUGGCUGGGGGUGAAAGGCCAAUCAAACCGGGAGAUAGCUGGUUCUCCCCGAAAGCUAUUUAGGUAGCGCCUCGUGAACUCAUCUUCGGGGGUAGAGCACUGUUUCGGCUAGGGGGUCAUCCCGACUUACCAACCCGAUGCAAACUACGAAUACCGAAGAAUGUUAUCACGGGAGACACACGGCGGGUGCUAACGUCCGUCGUGAAGAGGGAAACAACCCAGACCGCCAGCUAAGGUCCCAAAGUCAUGGUUAAGUGGGAAACGAUGUGGGAAGGCACAGACAGCCAGGAUGUUGGCUUAGAAGCAGCCAUCAUUUAAAGAAAGCGUAAUAGCUCACUGGUCGAGUCGGCCUGCGCGGAAGAUGUAACGGGGCUAAACCAUGCACCGAAGCUGCGGCAGCGACACUAUGUGUUGUUGGGUAGGGGAGCGUUCUGUAAGCCUGCGAAGGUGACCUGUGAGGGUUGCUGGAGGUAUCAGAAGUGCGAAUGCUGACAUAAGUAACGAUAAAGCGGGUGAAAAGCCCGCUCGCCGGAAGACCAAGGGUUCCUGUCCAACGUUAAUCGGGGCAGGGUGAGUCGACCCCUAAGGCGAGGCCGAAAGGCGUAGUCGAUGGGAAACAGGUUAAUAUUCCUGUACUUGGUGUUACUGCGAAGGGGGGACGGAGAAGGCUAUGUUAGCCGGGCGACGGUUGUCCCGGUUUAAGCAUGUAGGCUGGUUAUCCAGGCAAAUCCGGAUAAUCAAGGCUGAGGUGUGAUGACGAGGCACUACGGUGCUGAAGUAACAAAUGCCCUGCUUCCAGGAAAAGCCUCUAAGCAUCAGGUAACAUUAAAUCGUACCCCAAACCGACACAGGUGGUCAGGUAGAGAAUACCAAGGCGCUUGAGAGAACUCGGGUGAAGGAACUAGGCAAAAUGGUGCCGUAACUUCGGGAGAAGGCACGCUGGUGUGUAGGUGAAGUCCCUGCGGAUGGAGCUGAGACCAGUCGAAGAUACCAGCUGGCUGCAACUGUUUAUUAAAAACACAGCACUGUGCAAACACGAAAGUGGACGUAUACGGUGUGACGCCUGCCCGGUGCCGGAAGGUUAAUUGAUGGGGUUAUCCGUAAGGAGAAGCUCUUGAUCGAAGCCCCGGUAAACGGCGGCCGUAACUAUAACGGUCCUAAGGUAGCGAAAUUCCUUGUCGGGUAAGUUCCGACCUGCACGAAUGGCGUAAUGAUGGCCAGGCUGUCUCCACCCGAGACUCAGUGAAAUUGAACUCGCUGUGAAGAUGCAGUGUACCCGCGGCAAGACGGAAAGACCCCGUGAACCUUUACUAUAGCUUGACACUGAACAUUGAGCCUUGAUGUGUAGGAUAGGUGGGAGGCUUUGAAGCGUGGACGCCAGUCUGCGUGGAGCCAACCUUGAAAUACCACCCUUUAAUGUUUGAUGUUCUAACGUUGGCCCCUGACCGGGGUUGCGGACAGUGUCUGGUGGGUAGUUUGACUGGGGCGGUCUCCUCCCAAAGCGUAACGGAGGAGCACGAAGGUUAGCUAAUCCUGGUCGGACAUCAGGAGGUUAGUGCAAUGGCAUAAGCUAGCUUGACUGCGAGCGUGACGGCGCGAGCAGGUGCGAAAGCAGGUCAUAGUGAUCCGGUGGUUCUGAAUGGAAGGGCCAUCGCUCAACGGAUAAAAGGUACUCCGGGGAUAACAGGCUGAUACCGCCCAAGAGUUCAUAUCGACGGCGGUGUUUGGCACCUCGAUGUCGGCUCAUCACAUCCUGGGGCUGAAGUAGGUCCCAAGGGUAUGGCUGUUCGCCAUUUAAAGUGGUACGCGAGCUGGGUUUAGAACGUCGUGAGACAGUUCGGUCCCUAUCUGCCGUGGGCGCUGGAGAAUUGAGGGGGGCUGCUCCUAGUACGAGAGGACCGGAGUGGACGCAUCACUGGUGUUCGGGUUGUCAUGCCAAUGGCACUGCCCGGUAGCUAAAUGCGGAAGAGAUAAGUGCUGAAAGCAUCUAAGCACGAAACUUGCCCCGAGAUGAGUUCUCCCUGAGACUUUAAGUCUCCUGAAGGAACGUU
rnacentral:rRNA from 1 species